GGGAGGGGUUCCCGAGUGGCCAAAGGGAUCAGACUGUAAAUCUGACGCGAAAGCUUCGGUGGUUCGAAUCCGCCCCUCCCCACCA
rnacentral:tRNA from 1 species